UACGGGGGGAGCAAGCGUUGUUCGGAUUUACUGGGCGUAAAGGGCGCGUAGGCGGCCACCGCAAGUCGGUUGUGAAAUCUCUGGGCUUAACCCAGAAAGGUCAACCGAUACUGCGGGGCUAGAGUGCAGAAGGGGCAACUGGAAUUCUCGGUGUAGCAAUGAAAUGCGUAGAUAUCGAGAGGAACACCUGCGGCGAAGGCGGGUUGCUGGGCCGACACUGACGCUGAUGCGCGAAAGCGUGGGGAGCGAACAGG
rnacentral:rRNA from 1 species